AGAAGUGAAGGAGAUUGGGCUCCAUCAUUUGUUACCUCACUAACUGUCAGGGUUCAUUCAGAUGAUCUAGCUAGCUAGUCUCUUAUUUUUUUCCUUCCUCACUUACAGCUCCAUGUGUGUUCUUCCUGAAGCUGCACACUUAGUCAAAGCAGAUGACCUUUCUUUGCUCAAGCAUAUACCCGUAGCAGUGCUCUCCAGGUAGAUCCUCCAAAUAAGCUUUCAAGGUCCAAAUGUGUACAAGUACCAGUAUGCCUAUGGUUACAGAGGGUAGGGCUCUUGGUAGUGUAAACAACUUGUUUUACAUUUUCCU
rnacentral:snRNA from 1 species